ACGGCAGCACGGAGAGCUUGCUCUCUGGUGGCGAGUGGCGAACGGGUGAGUAAUAUAUCGGAACGUGUCCAAUAAUGGGGGAUAACGAGUCGAAAGAUUCGCUAAUACCGCAUACGCCCUACGGGGGAAAGCAGGGGAUCGUAAGACCUUGCGUUAAUGGAGCGGCCGAUACCUGAUUAGCUUGUUGGUGAGGUAAAGGCUCACCAAGGCGACGAUCAGUAGCUGGUUUGAGAGAACGACCAGCCACACUGGAACUGAGACACGGUCCAGACUCCUACGGGAGGCAGCAGUGGGGAAUUUUGGACAAUGGGGGCAACCCUGAUCCAGCCAUUCCGCGUGAGUGAAGAAGGCCUUCGGGUUGUAAAGCUCUUUCGCAAGGGAAGAAAACUUAUGAUCGAAUAAAUCAUGAGGUUGACGGUACCUUGAUAAGAAGCACCGGCUAACUACGUGCCAGCAGCCGCGGUAAUACGUAGGGUGCGAGCGUUAAUCGGAAUUACUGGGCGUAAAGCGUGCGCAGGCGGUUUUGUAAGUCGGAUGUGAAAUCCCCGGGCUCAACCUGGGAACCGCGUUCGAAACUGCAAGGCUAGAGUGUGUCAGAGGGGGGUAGAAUUCCACGUGUAGCAGUGAAAUGCGUAGAGAUGUGGAGGAAUACCAAUGGCGAAGGCAGCCCCCUGGGAUAACACUGACGCUCAUGCACGAAAGCGUGGGGAGCAAACAGGAUUAGAUACCCUGGUAGUCCGCGCCCUAAACGAUGUCAACUAGUUGUUGGUAGAGUAAAAUCUAUGAGUAACGUAGCUAACGCGUGAAGUUGACCGCCUGGGGAGUACGGUCGCAAGAUUAAAA
rnacentral:rRNA from 1 species